rnacentral:sRNA from 1 species
UAAACUAAAGUGCUCCCGAGUUACUCUAUCAAGAAUUGGAUCGAGUAGAGUAGAGACCGGUGGUCGAGUUAAGUUUUGAAGUUGAGUGGCUAUGUUGAUUGCUAGCACCAGAGGUCGAGUACUUCUUCGAUGAGCCGGAAUUGGUUGGGACAAAACCACAAGUUGACGGUCGAGUCCUGUGGUUGUAAUCGACUAGUUCCUGAGACUUCGACGGUGAAGGAGGUGGGGAACUCGACUGUGGCGGCGCAGAGAAGGUCGAGUGUGGUGAGAACAAAGUGACGGCGAACGGAAAAGUGAAAUGGUGGAGUAUAGCGACGAACUCAAGUGAAGUUGAGUCGAGUAACUCUUUGGUGAAAGAUGGCGAUUCAUGGUUGACUAGAGAAAUUGGAUUGUCGGUGGUGAGAUGAAGAGAGAUGGGUCGAGUAGGUUUUACUUUUGGGGAAUGUGUGGUCGAGUUCAAAAGGUAUGGUGGAGAUUGAUUCUGUGAUUCUCUCUCCAUCUUAUCUUCAGGAACAAAACGCGUGGUCCACACUUUGUUGACUUGUCUUUUGACUUUGUUCCCUGUUUACUGGGAAAACCUCAGGAAAUCCUCUAUAAACAUGUUAAACUCCCUGUAAGUCUCUGUAUCUUCUGUAUCUUUUGUUGGGCGAGUAAAAUGAUGAUUUAAAUUUUUUUGGGUUUUAAACAUCACUCAUCCUCGACCAAUACACUCGAGUGCAAGGUCUCCAGAUGCAACAAAAAGUUUUAAAAUUUUUGCACUCCACUGUACUGUGUACUCGAUCUCUAGGCCAUCUAUAGAGUAAAAGUUUUGAAUUUU